rnacentral:miRNA from 12 species
GGGGGGGGGGGGGGGGGGGGGGGGGGGGGGGGGGGGGGGGCGCGGCUUUUGGGGUGCCGGGCAGGGCUGACCACCCACCUCCC